UUUCUCACUUGGCAACGUCCAUCUUCUCCACUGUUCUAUGCAUUACCUCGCAUUUUUAUGUUGCUCUAAGUGGUGUUCCAGUCUUCUAUGCAUUCAAUUCAGGCACUUAACACUAGACAAGUGAGAGAUGACUCUUAUUGCUCAAUUUAUAAAUCAGCGGGAAAUGAAUAUGCUGCUCUUCGGGAAUUAAAGUAGCUGUGGACAGUGCAACAGCACCCUCUUCUGGAGACUGUUAAAUCCUACAAAAUUCUAGGAGUAGUUGUUCACGUCUCAGAUUUUCUGAGGUUUGACAAGUGCCAUGUUGGCAGCAGACAGAAGGCUUUAGAAUCAGGUGUUCUCAUCAGUCAGUUCCACUUUCAGGUGUUUCCAUUCUCAAAAAAAAACAAACAAACAGAAAAAAGGAACAAACGACACAUUAAAAGUCACUCAACAAGCCAUUUCUGCUGCAUCUGCCAUUGCCAUUUGGAUUAUUUUGUAUCUGUGGUAUAAAUGCACAUACCAGCUACUGUCUGGAGAGUAAAAGGCAGGCAUGAAGAAUAAUGAUUUCCUGCUCACCAGAGGACAGCUUAUAGCUUUUCCACAUUGAACCAAACAGAAAGGAAACAUUCAUCAAACAGUAUGGCUGGGCGGAGAAGAGACAGAAAAAGGACACAUCGCUCCAGAGUUCAGGGUGAGGGCGCGAGUCACUGGCCGGGCCAGCAGGGAGUUCUGCUCGUGGUCACAGUUAAGCUAUAAUCAUCUCAAAUCUCCAUCACACAGGAACCUAUGCCUGUUUGCGUCUGGGCAUCUAAGGCAUGUGUGGUGGACCAUCAGCAUGCUAAGCCAGUAUAGUUAAAAUAAACAUCAUACUGUAUCAUUACCUGUGUGGAUUCCUCCCAAGUAAGUAUGCAAUGACUUCACAAAGCUCUGAAAUGAAGAUUCAGUGUCUUGGCAUGUAUGAUCAAUCCAUCUAUCCAUACAUCCAUCCAUCCAUUAUCUUCCCUG